rnacentral:rRNA from 1 species
UACGUAGGGUGCAAGCGUUGUCCGGAAUUAUUGGGCGUAAAGAGCUCGUAGGCGGUCUGUCGCGUCGGCUGUGAAAUCCCGGGGCUCAACCCCGGAACUGCAUUCGAUACUGCCUUGCUCGAGUACUGGAGAGGAGACUGGAAUUUACGGUGUAGCAGUGAAAUGCGUAGAGAUCGGGAGAACAUCAGUUGCGAAGGCGGCUCUCUGGACCAGCACUGACACUGAGGCACGAAAGCGUGGGGAGCAAACAG